rnacentral:rRNA from 1 species
AACGAACGCUGGCGGCAUGCCUAACACAUGCAAGUCGAACGAGACCUUCGGGUCUAGUGGCGCACGGGUGCGUAACGCGUGGGAACCUGCCCUUAGGUUCGGAAUAACUCCCCGCAAGGGGUGCUAAUACCGGAUAAUGUCUUCGGACCAAAGAUUUAUCGCCUUUGGAUGGGCCCGCGUUGGAUUAGCUAGUUGGUAGGGUAAAAGCGUACCAAGGCGACGAUCCAUAGCUGGUCUGAGAGGAUGAUCAGCCACACUGGGACUGAGACACGGCCCAGGCUGCUACGGGAGGCAGCAGUGGGGAAUAGUGGACAAUGGGCGAAAGCCUGAUCCAGCAAUGCCGCGUGAGUGAUGAAGGCCUUAGGGUUGUAAAGCUCUUUUACCCGUGAUGAUAAUGACAGGAACGGGAGAAUAAGCUCCGGCUAACUCCGUG